rnacentral:lncRNA from 1 species
UAACUGAAUAACUAUUAGUUUUGAUUGCAUAAAUAAGAACACGUAGUUACAUGGUUCAAAUAGUUUUACAGAGAAUCAUCUAAAAUCCCUAAUCUGAUGAGAUUAGUUACUCAUAAUAAUAAUUGACAUAACAAUUAAAUAAUAAUAAAUCAAUGAUAAAGCACCUUGAAAUAAGACUAAGAAUUCUUCUCUCCUUUUGGUCAAAGCCGUAAUCCUUUUUUCUUCCCCUGAUGCCUCUGCGUGAAAAAAUACAAGGACUGCUCGCAUCAUGCUGACGUCAUGCUCUGGAGAGAGUGGCAAAUCGUGCCGCGACGGGAGUUGGAUAAGGACGCGAAAAAUCCAGUGGCCACAUGCAUACAAUUGAUUCAAAAACUUCCAAAUUUUUAAAUAUUUUUCUUCUUGGUCUUCAAAAUUCUUGCUAUGUCAAUUUCUUCAAAUAUUCUUCUCUUUGACCAUGUAAAACUCCUUAAAACUAACUAAAAAACAUUAAAAUAACAAUUAAAAAUAACAAAUGACCGAAUGUCAUCAG